AGCUGACGAAAUUAAUAUAUUGUUCACGAACAGUCCCAGAAAUGGAGAAGGUGGGGGUGGUGGAAUAAAAAUUUAGGGGAGGUGCAGCGGUCUAGCUCUCGACCCCCGUGGAAAGUUAGGGCUUACUGUAGAACGGGCCAAAGUCAACGACGUGACGUGUGUACUGUAUGCAGCGUACAGUACAUAUGUAUAUUAGUGUUUAAUGAAUUAUGACUGUACGACUCAUCCAAUUUUGUCCUUCAUUAAAAUUACUACAAAGUUUCUUUCAAAACAUUGCAUUAAAAGGGUAUAUUUGACACAUAUAGAUGAAUGGCUAUCACUGUUUCAGUUUUACAAAAGGACCUUUCUUACGAAGUGUAGACCCUAAGCAACCAUGCCCAUUUUCACUUUGAUCUGUCAUUGAAACAAGGGGAGAUGCGUGACUUUUCAGGGGAGGUGCAAAAAUUCUCAGGAGAUGUGCGCACCUCCCCACACCUUCCCUCAGAAUCUGGCCAUGGAUUCUGACUCAAAAGUUAGAAAAUUUUUUGUCACUUGAUUUAAUAAAAAUUUAAUGAAUAUAGUUUGCCAUAAGAGCAUAAUAUUAUAAUGCUCAUCUAGAGGGCAUACUAUUACAAAUUUACAACGUUACAUAAAACAUAAAGCAGACACUCAACGAUUUUUACAAAUACCGUACAUUAUUAAACUAGCAUUUGCAAAUCAGUUCAUUAUAAAUAGAUAAAAUAAUAAUUGGUCAUCAAGGCUCUACAAGAGCAAAUCGACCACUUUCUCUAAUGAAACAUCGGACACUAUGAAAAAUUCCGAUAUUUUCAUUUUCUGCGAAUUGUGAGAGAAUCCAGUCAAAAAAAGCCUUUUUUUAGUUAUUAUUUGCAAUUCAGAAAUUGCAUACCAUCUAUCGGCAAGAAUAUGAACAGCAGAGGAAAGCAACUUCAAUCUAGGAGCAGCAAACAACGGACAGUGAAGAAAAUAAUGAUUAAUACUUUCAAUUUCGAAUUAUAAUUCGAAACCACAAAAACAUUCGGAAGAGGGUUUACUCCCAAUUUUAAACAGAUAGUAAUUUAAAGCACAAACAUUUAAACGUAAUCGAGUAUGAAUGAUAGAGGAAUAUCUGUCAAGAGCAAAAUUAAAUAACCUCUUGUAAUGAGGAACUUCAAAAAUUCUAAACAAAGCGUUUUUAAACGAAAUUACUGACUCAAGAUUGCGUAGCUCCGAGGGCUCGGGUUGAAUUUCUUAAUUUGUCCAAUAAACGUGCUGGUAUUGAUUUUAGGUUUUAGAGGAACUGAAAGUUUUACUUGAAUAUUACGAGAAAGAAAGCGGUGAAAAACCUAAAAUUCUCGGAGUUGGAUUAAGUUCCAGGAAAAAUCUAUGCAUUCAUCCAGAGGUACAGUGUAAUAUAACUUUAAAUUAACCAGCCAGUAUAUUCCCCCUCCCCCCAACUGUUUUACCAUGUCUGAUACUAAAAGUUUGCUUGAAGUUCAGACACGACAUAAAAUCAAGUUCCUAAGAUUUUUGUAUGGAUGGAAAUUUAAAAGUGUAAAUAAGAUUUUUAAUAUACAUUUUUUAGACCUACUGUACAUAAGGGAGCGGUUAUCAUGUGACAUUUUCAUCGCCCUAAAACUUUGUGUUUUGUUCAGGUAAACAUUGACAGAGACGGCAAAAAGGUUGACGCAAAAUGUCAGACAUUAACAGCAUCUUAUAUCAGAGAAAGACAUAAAUAUGACAGCAGUGUUCCUG